rnacentral:rRNA from 1 species
GGGUUGUGAGGUUAAGCGACUAAGCGUACACGGUGGAUGCCCUGGCAGUCAGAGGCGAUGAAGGACGUGCUAAUCUGCGAUAAGCGCCGGUAAGGUGAUAUGAACCGUUAUAACCGGCGAUUUCCGAAUGGGGAAACCCAGUGUGAUUCGUCACACUAUCAUUAACUGAAUCCAUAGGUUAAUGAGGCGAACCGGGGGAACUGAAACAUCUAAGUACCCCGAGGAAAAGAAAUCAACCGAGAUUCCCCCAGUAGCGGCGAGCGAACGGGGAGGAGCCCAGAGCCUGAAUCAGCAUGUGUGUUAGUGGAAGCGUCUGGAAAGGUGCGCGAUACAGGGUGACAGCCCCGUACACAAAAGCGCAUGUGCUGUGAGCUCGAUGAGUAGGGCGGGACACGUGGUAUCCUGUCUGAAUAUGGGGGGACCAUCCUCCAAGGCUAAAUACUCCUGACUGACCGAUAGUGAACCAGUACCGUGAGGGAAAGGCGAAAAGAACCCCGGCGAGGGGAGUGAAAAAGAACCUGAAACCGUGUACGUACAAGCAGUGGGAGCACAGGUUUACCUGUGUGACUGCGUACCUUUUGUAUAAUGGGUCAGCGACUUAUAUUCUGUAGCAAGGUUAACCGAAUAGGGGAGCCGGAGGGAAACCGAGUCUUAAUUGGGCGUUAAGUUGCAGGGUAUAGACCCGAAACCCGGUGAUCUAGCCAUGGGCAGGUUGAAGGUUGGGUAACACUAACUGGAGGACCGAACCGACUAAUGUUGAAAAAUUAGCGGAUGACCUGUGGCUGGGGGUGAAAGGCCAAUCAAACCGGGAGAUAGCUGGUUCUCCCCGAAAGCUAUUUAGGUAGCGCCUCGUGAAUUCAUCUCCGGGGGUAGAGCACUGUUUCGGCUAGGGGGCCAUCCCGGCUUACCAACCCGAUGCAAACUGCGAAUACCGGAGAAUGUUAUCACGGGAGACACACGGCGGGUGCUAACGUCCGUCGUGAAGAGGGAAACAACCCAGACCGCCAGCUAAGGUCCCAAAGUCAUGGUUAAGUGGGAAACGAUGUGGGAAGGCCCAGACAGCCAGGAUGUUGGCUUAGAAGCAGCCAUCAUUUAAAGAAAGCGUAAUAGCUCACUGGUCGAGUCGGCCUGCGCGGAAGAUGUAACGGGGCUAAACCAUGCACCGAAGCUGCGGCAGCGAACGUAUCACCCAAGACAACUUUACGGAGUUGACGAUUGACGGAGCGAAGCGACGUCAAAGCGUUCAUUAAAGUCGAGUUGGCUUAGGGAUACGUUCGUUGGGUAGGGGAGCGUUCUGUAAGCCUGUGAAGGUGUGUCGUGAGGCAUGCUGGAGGUAUCAGAAGUGCGAAUGCUGACAUAAGUAACGAUAAAGCGGGUGAAAAGCCCGCUCGCCGGAAGACCAAGGGUUCCUGUCCAACGUUAAUCGGGGCAGGGUGAGUCGACCCCUAAGGCGAGGCCGAA